ACCUGGCUGGCUCAGUUGGAAAAGCACGUGACUCUUGAUCUUGGGGCUGUGAGUUCAAAGCCCACGUUGGGUA
rnacentral:tRNA from 1 species